UACGGAGGGAGCUAGCGUUGUUCGGAAUUACUGGGCGUAAAGCGCGCGUAGGCGGCUUUGUAAGUUAGAGGUGAAAGCCCGGGGCUCAACCCCGGAACUGCCUCUAGGACUGCAUCGCUUGAAUCCGGGAGAGGUGAGUGGAAUUCCGAGUGUAGAGGUGAAAUUCGUAGAUAUUCGGAAGAACACCAGUGGCGAAGGCGGCUCACUGGACCGGUAUUGACGCUGAGGUGCGAAAGCGUGGGGAGCAAACAGG
rnacentral:rRNA from 1 species